GGUAAGGGAAGUCGGCAAAUUGGAUCCGUCACUUCGGGAUAAGGAUUGGCUCUGAGGAGCGGGGCGUGUCGAGCUUGGUCGGGAAGUGGGUCUGGCUGACGUGCCAGGCCUGGGCGAGGUGAACCUGUGGUGUCUCCGCAUGGGGAUCCGAGCUUGGUCCCGUGCCUAGGCCUCCCGCGGAUCUUCCUUGCUGCGAGGCUUCCGUUGGUGGCCUGCCGUCGGCGGUCGUCCUCUUCGACCGCCAUUCAACGCUUAGCUCAGAACUGGCAUGGACUAGGGGAAUCCGACUGUCUAAUUAAAACAAAGCAUUGCGAUGGCCCCCACGGGUGUUGACACAAUGUGAUUUCUGCCCAGUGCUCUGAAUGUCAACGUGAAGAAAUUCAAAAGAGUGCGGGUAAACGGUGGGAGUAACUAUGACUCUCUUAACAUUAACAUCUGUUUAAGGAGUUGUAGUUACUGAGACGGUGAAGCGCAAUACUGGCCUCUGGUCCUUAGC
rfam:Habropoda laboriosa contig20722, whole genome shotgun sequence.